UCAGGAUUCUUGUUUGGGAAAACCAUAUGGAAAAACCACACAGCAGUUAAGUCUAUAAUCAGGGCUUACAGCAUGUGGUCCGUUGGGUGCCAGGAGUGGUGCUUCUCCCCACUCCAGAAGGUCCAUGGAAUUUGUUCUUUGAUGAGGAAACUGAGCCCGAGACAGGAAGUCUUGUUUCCACGGGAAGAGAACGAGACCAUUUCCUCCCAUAGUACCACAAGGUAUAGUUCCCAAAAUGAUUUUUCCAUAGUUGUUACAGUUAUUCUCAAAAUAUUUUCUUGUUUUCACUGAUCCUUUUAACACUUCUUCUGGAAGGAGGUAGAGAGUCUUCUGUUGCCCUUUCCAGCAGGACAAGAGGCAACCUCAUACACAGGGGGAUUGUGACCUGGCUGCCAUGAGCAGGGUUGGCAGUAGGGCUGCGUAUGGGGCAUCAGUCUGUGUUACAUGCAUAGAUGCCUGACCAGUAGAAUGAAGAGGGACUGAAAUGCAGGAACUGUUUUGGAAGUUGCUUGCAAACGUCAGCAGAGAAGCUAAGGUAUAGACUCAGAGUAACCUCUCGCUCCGACCCCCAGUGACAAGACGGAUAGUUCCAUUCAUCUAUGGGAGACAAGAAGGCUGGCUAUCAUCACUCCUAUUCUACAUUGUACUGGAGUCCUUCUAGCACAAAAAGCAACAUACAUAAAUACAAGGAAAUACAAGUUUGGGGACUAAAGUAUGCAAAAGAAAUGCGUUCUGUGUCCUGUUCUGUGUCAGGGAUGGAAAAUGGUGACACUUCUCGUUCUGCCACAAAUGUGUUGAUGCUGUUUGAGUGUGACAAUGAAGCAGAAACACCAUAUUCAGUUUCCUUUUGGAAAUGUCAACGAGAAUUCGUCUAGCUUCCAAGUUGCAUUGCAAGCUGAGAACUCCUUUCCCCAAAUGUGUCCAGAAAGAGUUUUUGUUUCUUGCCCAUAACAUGCCAAGUGAAUUGAUUUUCUAAGAUUCUGUAAUAUAAUGUUGACUCUUAAUUUUGGUUUAAUCAUUUUAGUUAUGUAUCAGCUCAAAAGCCAAAUUAACUAUGUUCUUAUUUUAGUUGUGAAAACAAAUUCCAGCACAAGCAGCCAUCCAGGAAUGUCUUUGCCACCUUGUCUGUUGGCACAAAUUCUUCCUGAGAUGAUUUGGGGAAGGUGCUCUGUGAUUUCAG
rnacentral:lncRNA from 13 species